AAACAGCCUUCUAUGUUUUGAUUCUUUGGCAGUUUUGGACCCCCAAGGCAAAAAAAAAAUUACAUGUGGCACCUCACUUAGAGUGUCACGUCAGCGUUGACCGAGUCAACAAUGGACUGGGGUCCAAAACUGCCAAAGAAUCAAAACAUAGGGGGCUGUUU
rnacentral:pre_miRNA from 1 species